ensembl:lncRNA
AUUUAUGUGUUUUCUGCGUGUAAAUAUGUACAAGACCUUUAUUCUGGCGUGGUGGUGUGACGUCACAAGGCGGCGCUGCGCUGCUCGUCUGUGAUUCGGCAGAGGAAAGGUUUGUGUGUUUUUAAAGUCUUUAAAACGAUAAAACGGUCAAGGCAAUGUUAUAGUUAGUCAUUGAACGUAACGUCGCAAUGUUUCACCUAACAAUUAUGAAUGUUAUUUUUUCGUGUCCAAACACACAGAGAAACUCCUGCUGAAGCACGUGACACACUUUUAUAAAGAUGGCGUUUAUCAAAGUGGAGAGUGAAGAGCUGAAGAUUGAAGAAGUAUUCAGAGUCAAACAAGAAGAAACUGAGGAACAAACAGAUUGUGCAACAGUAUCCAACAACAACAAAAAUUUCUUAAGCAAAAAGUCCUCGCAGGCUCUUCUCCGCUCAUCUCAGAUCUUUGAAAGAGGCUGGAUCCAGUCUGAGCCUGGCAUCAUCUCUAGCUGCCCAUCCAGAGCUGGAAACAGAAAAGCAAAUGGAGAGUAAUUAGCAUAGCUGCUGUUCGUAACAUUUCAAGCUAAAGAAUAAUAAAGUGCAUUUGAUCAAGUAUAACUGGAAUACA